rnacentral:misc_RNA from 1 species
CAGCAAUAUAACCACCACAUGAUCCAAAUGAUUUUGUAAACGUUCCCAUCAUAAUAUCCACAUCAGCAGGAUCCACUCCUAACAAUUCACAAACACCUCGUCCUGUCUUUCCAACAGCUCCAAUGCUGUGAGCCUCAUCCAAGUAAACAUAUGCCUUAUAUUUCUUGCAUAUAGCAACAAUCUCUGGAAGUUUGCAGAGUUCCCCUUCCAUGCUAUAAAUACCCUCAACAAUGACAAUUAUCUUCUUCCAAGGCCUAUGCGUUCUAGGUUGUCCCUCAGCAAUUUGUUCUCUCAAUACUUUCUCCAAGUGAGAUGGUGUAUUAUGUUGGAAAACUCGAAUCGUUGCUCCUGAUCCACGAGCACCAUUGACAAUUGAGUUAUGGUUCAAGGAAUCACUAAUUAUCAACCCUCCUUUCCCAACCAGGACAGGAAGGAUGGCAGAGUUUGUAACAUAGCCCAUGCCAAAGACGAUGGCAGCUGGCUUUCCAACAAAGUUUGCAACACACUCCUCCAAUUCAGUGUGCACUGUUGUAGUUCCUCCAUCAACACGAGUACUACUAG